CUAUAGUCUCUAAACCUCUUUUUCCAUCAGUAGCAACAUGACCAGAAAAGCCUGCUGGUCUCAGGAUUCUCUUCAAGAAUAGCCCACAUUAAUGGAUCCAAAAUCACUGUUUCUAUACCUGGGAAGAAAAAAACAAUUUGACGGUAAUCAGAGCUGAGUCUUAAGUAUCCAUUUUAUUCCAUUGCUGGAUUCUCUUAAGUAAUAUAAGUAAGAUCCUUAACAUUAUGUCCAUGAAAUUAAUAGUUAUGGUCUGAUCCAUCCAAAAUAUUACCUGUUCCUGAGAUGUGUCACUUCUUCUAUUUAGCCACAUGCUGCUAAAAGAAAUUGCCACUUGCUUAAGAAUUCCAGCUAGUCACCAGCAUGGACCACCCUAGGGAUGCUUCCCAGGCAGAAGCAGGAGUUCUGAGAAUAGCUCUGGUCUGGACACAAUUUAUGUGUCUGGGACAGAGUAUCUGACUUCCAUUGAGGUAAUCCCAACUUUUACUUAGGCUAUCGUGUUUGCUAGCUCAGGACUAGAGAGAGGUUUUGGUGCCUCCUCCAGGUGCUGGGAGAGGAAUGAGAAGAAAACCUGCUGGGUCUGUUUCCUGUGUUGUAGUGGAAGUGAAAGAAUGAAAGCACCAUGAAGAGGAAACAAUGAAAGACCAGUAGCUGUCAAGUCCAUAUUCUAGUUACCCCUAAACCCUAAACGCAGCUGGGGCCCUGGUUUCUACCACUUGCUAAUUUAAUACCCUGACACCUAGUAACAAUUCAGUAAGUGAUGAAAACCCUUAAUGAGUUCCUUGUCCAUAUUUUAGAGCCCCCCUCAGUCACAAUUCUUAGUCUAAAAAACACAUUUGUGUUUUUAUAUCAAAUUCUUACAAAUGUGUACAUGUCCAAUGAUACUUUAUCACAUAUUUAAGAUCUCUUUUUAAAAAUGAAUAAAAUUAUAUGGUGUUAGAAAUAAACCGUAGUAUCCAGUAAGUAUGGAUGGCAGAAUCUGGGAUGCUGAAAAGCAGUAGACAUUGUAUGAAAAAGACACAUAAUUGUACGACAUUUUCCACAAAUGAAAACAAUUCUGAAUUGCAAAAAUGAAUUAAACUACAAUGCCUAAAAUCUACAUUAAAAUCAUUACUAUACUUGUAAGGGUGCCAGAACAAAUAUAUAUACAUAUUAUCUGACUAUUCCUGUGGAAAAUUUUAUAUGAAGGAAGAACAUACACAUAUACACAUAUUCAUUAUAUGGUAUCUAUCAAUAGUAAAAUGCACCCAAACCCUAUAAAGCUAUAACAAAAUAGUUUCAGCAUCUAGGAGUCAAAAUCCAUUCCACUACCUGGGGUUCAUCAAAAGUGUGAAAGGGCCAAAGCUUGUCUUCAAUGUUUUUCUCAUGAGCAGUAGACCUGUGCCUCUCCAAAAUCUAACUGAGAACACAUUUCUUAAGAAACUGUCCUGGAAAAAUGAAUUGCUUCCUUCCCUGGUCUCCUAUAAAUUGUGCAGCUUGUUAAAUUUUCCAUACUGUACACUAUUUCUACUUUCCCUGCUAGAAUAUGAGAUUUUCAAGGGCAGAGAUUGUUUUGAAAAGCAAUAAGUGUUAAUCAAAUAGAUUGUCCUCUCCUCAGAAGAACUGACUUAAAUAAAUGAGUCAAAAUUCAAUUGAUAAAAAAUUACAUCAACAUAAGUUUCUUAUAUUUCUGUUCUCUGUGGAUAAAAGCAGUGACUUUUUUAUCCAAGACCAUAGUAAGAAAUACAAUGUAUUUUAUUUUGGAACACAGUACAUGUGGACAUAGGUAUAUAAAACCAAAAUAAAAAUUUCAAAAAACAGUAUUAUUCUUAAAAUAUGUGGCAAGUUCCAAUAUCCAUUUUAAUCUGUUUUUCUGCCUUUUCCUCUUCUUCUAACUUUUCCUCCUCCUUCCUUAUAAUACUGGUUACGAUCCAUUAAGACAAUUUCAUGACCCCUAAUGAAUCCUGACCCACAGUUUGUAAACAUUGGUCUAACUGAACCUUCAUACAGACAUAUCAGAGAAAUAAAGUGGAUUGGAAUCCUUAAAAUGAAGAAAUUAUGUCUGUAUGAUUACUUUAUAGAUCACAAAAUCAUACAUUAAAAGUCAUCAGAGAAAUAUUAGCUCAGAAGCAAAAUUUAGAGAACUCUUUCUCUCAGAAUAUUUCUCAUCUACUGACUACAAUACCUUUAAAGUAAACAGAAGUUUGAAAGAUCUAUUCAUUCCUUUAAACAAUGAUUUACAGAGCACUGUGUUCUAGGAACACUGUGUUUUAGCUACAGAGAUGAAUGAAAUAUACAAAGUCCCUGUCCUCAUGAGUUUACAUCCUAAUGAGGGUAUUAGAGAUGAAACAAAGAUGUUUACUAACAGUAAGUCCCCGACUUACAAGCGUUUGAGUUGUGAACUUUCACAGAUAUGAACAGACCAUUAAUUACAAACAUUUGUAGGUGUGAACAAAUUGCGGAAGUAGCUCCCAUGUCUGCUGGACAUUGUCACAGUUGUGCAGCUGUGAGCUUAUGUACGGUUCGAUAGUGUGCAGCAGUACAGUGCUCAGUCAGAGCCCAAGAUGUCUGGAAGCAAGAGGAAAAGCAGUGAUGAUGUGAAGGCGACUGCUAGGAAGCACAGAGCAAUAACCAUGGAAACAAAAUGAAAAUAAUUGAGAGAUUGGACUGAACCAAUGAAAUGGGAGACAUCACUUGCUCUUAUACUGUAUAGGCCAGCUGUUGUAUUGUUCCAGCAUUUUAAGCCUUCUGCAGACAGAACACUGUUCCUCCCCUCCUGAGGAGGCAGCAACAAGGCGCUGUCUUAGAAAUAGGGCACAAGUCUUGUGGCAGCAUCGCAGGAGGCGGAUGGCGGGGAUGGCGUUGGCGUGGGCCUGGAAGCGGAUGUCCUGGUUCUACUACCAGUACCUGCUGGUCACGGCGCUCUACAUGCUGGAGCCCUGGGAGCGGACGGUGUUCGGUAGCCUCCCCGGCGGGCCAGGGGCGCGGGGCCCAGACUUUUAGCUGCUAACAAGAUAUGGUUUUUAUCUUACAAGGAAGUGGAACCUGACACCUGCAUUGAGACAAAGAAAUAAACGCUGCUUCUGUGGGUUAAGAGGAGGGAGAAGAGGAGGCUGGCAUGAUUGUGACUGAUAAAUUAAUAAUUCCAGUCCUCCAGGCUGGCGGUUUUCAGACUUUGGGUUUGUAUUCCAUGUUGAUUUCCGUCGUGGGCAUGGCGCUAUACACUGGAUCCGUCUUCAUGCCCCCAGAACAUCGUGGCAAUAUUGCACUACUUUGAAACUGUACAAUGACCAUCACGUGACCAGGAUCAAGAGGUUCCUUGGAGAAGACCCACUCUACAAAGUUGGAAUGAGUCUUCCUCAGAUGUCCUAAGAAACUACUGGAUGUCAGCGUAACUAACCUUAUAAACAUGAAGACUAAAAUUCAUGAGUAGAACAGAAAACUCAUCCUGACUCGUGUUGUGUUCUUUAUUUUUGAUUCUAGAAGAGGCUCUUGUGUAGUAGUUUUUGUCUAUUUUAACAUUGUAGUCAUUUGUACUUUGAUAUUAGUAUUUUCUUAACCUUUGUGACUGUUUCAAUAUUACCCCAUGAAAGCUUUUUUUAAUGUAACUUUUAGUAUAUUUUAAUUGCCUUGUAUUUUUAAAACUCAAAGUAAUUAGCUGGGCUUUAUCAUUUUUGCUAUUGUAUGGUCUAUACAUCUGCCUAGAUAUAUUUCUACUCUUGACCAAAGUUUUGUAAGAAAUAAUACAAGAUUUGGAGCAGCAGGCUGGGGAGGGAGGAUAUUUUAUUGAGAAUUACUUACAAAAGACUUAUCUGUAAACCUGAACUCAGGAGUACAAUUUUAGCUAUCUACUCUUAACAGUCUUUGCUUUAAAACUAUUAAAAUGUUUCUUGCAAUGAAAAAAAGUAAAGAUCUUGCUAAAAUUAAGAUAAGGAACAUUUCACCUUUUAAAUAUUUAAUUAUGAGGACUUAUUUCCAGAAAACUUUGGUGAUGAUUCUUAAGAGAAUAAAUGGUUAGUUAAUAGCA